rnacentral:lncRNA from 1 species
CCUCGAAGAUAAAGAAAUCCUGAGUAAGGAGAGAGAUUCUCCACACGAACGAACGACCCGUCAGGUUCGAACUGACUUAGGUUGGACCAGGACUCACCUAUCUCCACCAAGAAGGAAUCGCUUUGGUUACGCAGUUCAGUUGGCGAUAAAAGCCAACCUAAUCUGCGGGCCGGUAGGCCAGCCAACUAACUCUUCAAAUGAAGAACUUAUUUCCCCACAUCUAUCUCUAUGAAACUUCCUUCAUAGUUAGGAGAGGUUUUUUUUAGCUUUUUGUCUCUUUUACCGCAGGAAGUUCUCCAAAAGUAUGAAAGGCCGGAGGGAUUUGUACCAACCAUUCUAGUGUGGUUGGAUUCUGUUCAACAGCCCAAGGACUUUCCGCACAUUUUUGGUUCUUUCCACUAUUUGAAGUGAUUGCGACAACUACGAAGAAACGACGAAUCCCAACUACGGAUAUAUAAGAACCAAAACUGCUCAGAGAAUUCCAUCCAGCAUAAGCAUCUGGAUAAUCUGGAAUGCGACGUGGCAUACCCGAAAGCCCUAAGAAAUGCAUGGGAAAGAAGGUCAGAUUAACCCCCAAAAAAGUGAUCCAAAAAUGGAUUUGGCCUAAAGUUUCAGGAUAUGUCCGACCAAAGAUUUUACACACCCAAUAGUAAAAUCCAGCAAAUAAAGCAAAAACGGCUCCCGUAGAAAGUACAUAAUGGAAAUGUGCAACCACAUAAUAAGUAUCAUGUAGAGCAAUGUCUAGCCCAGAGUUUGCUAGAACUAUUCCAGUGAGCCCUCCUAUGGUGAACAAAAAGAUGAACCCUACAGCAAAUAACAUGGGUGUUUUGUAUUGUAUCGAACCUCCCCACAUGGUAGCGAUCCAACUAAAGAUUUUGAUUCCUGUGGGCACAGCUAUGAUCAUGGUAGCUGCGGUGAAGUAGGCACGCGUAUCAACGUCUAAGCCCACAGUAAACAUAUGAUGAGCCCAAACUACAAAUCCAAGAACACCUAUACUUAUCAUGGCAUAAACCAUGCCUAGAUACCCGAAGACCGGUUUUCUUGAAAAGGUCGAUACGAUAUGACUAAUAAUACCAAAUCCAGGAAGAAUGAGAAUAUACACCUCUGGAUGACCGAAGAACCAAAAGAGAUGCUGGUAUAAUAUUGGGUCUCCCCCUCCUGCAGGAUCAAAAAAGGUUGUAUUAAAGUUUCGAUCGGUUAAUAACAUUGUAAUUGCCCCCGCCAGUACCGGAAGUGAUAAUAAAAGUAGGAAUGCUGUCACUAGAACGGACCACACAAAAAGUGGUAAUCUAUGCAUAGUCAUUCCAGGUCCAGGCAUGUUGAAGAUAGUUGUUAUAAAAUUGAUAGAACCUAAAAUUGAUGAAAUACCUGAUAGAUGAAGACUAAAAAUUGCUAAAUCAACUGCUCCUCCAGAAUGACUGGUAAUACCACUUAAGGGCGGAUAGACUGUCCACCCAGUGCCGCUGCCCACUUCUACUAAGGAUGAGCUUAAUAGGAGGAAGAGACUUGGUGGCCACAACCAGAAUGAUAUAUUAUUUAAUCGUGGACAUGCCAUGUCAGGUGCACCUAUCAGAAUUGGAACAAACCAAUUACCAAAUCCACCUAUCAUCGCCAGCAUAACCAUAAAAAGGAUCAUUAAAAAAGCAUGAGCCGUUAUUAAAACAUUAUAAAGUUGAUGAUUCCCACCAAGAAUUUGAUCGCCGGGUCGGGCUAAUUCCAUACGAAUCAGUACAGAGAAGCAUGUGCCCAUCACUCCUGCAAUGGCACCGAAGAUGAAAUAGAGAGUCCCAAUAUCCUUGUGGUUAGUAGAGAAGAGCCAUCGAACCAUAUUUGUCAUUUUUUAUUUGAGAAAUGAAAACUUUCCUUAUCAAAGAGGGGCCGGGGGGCUGGAAGAGAAAAGAAAGAGGGGCCCGCCCGGGGGCUGGAAGAGAAAAGAAUCAGAAUUACUGAGCUACCCCGCUCUUUUUUUCUAAUUCCCUUCUAAGAUCCUCCGACUUAAACAAGUCGAGAGCAUGCUCGUGCUCAGCUCUUUCGAGACUUGCCUUGCUCUUGGGGAUUUCUUCCCAUUGGAUCCUCUGUUCCACUUCCAGGCACCUCCUUGCGGAGCUUUCCGCCUCAAGGAGAUCCCGGUUGUGGGAAACAACAUCUCUAAAGAAAACAGAUCCUCCCUCAUUCUCCCGCAGAUCUUGAUAAGACGCUUGGAGAACAGUGAAAGAAUCAGUUGUGUGAAUAUGGUCCAGAUAGGAACGAAGCCCUUCAUCGACCAAGUAGGGCUCGAUCGGUAGAUAAGGCCCUAUUCUUUGAUAAAGCACCACAAAUUCCUGAAUGACAUCUUCACUAGUAAAAAAAGACACAUCCGUGACAUUUUGGGCCGAACGAAAUUUUUUCUGUCAUACAUAUGACACUUCUAUGACGAUAAUUGUGACAAAACCCGGUAUCAUCAUAGAUGUGGUGGGCUCCUACUUCUAUGACAAAAAAUCAUGACAGAAAAUGGGCUUUUCAUCCUGGGCGGGCCGGAGAUGCAGCUGCAUGACAUUGUUUGGGCCGUCCAUGACGGAAAAAACCGUGGUAGAAGCAAGGGCGAGGAAAAUUUCAGAGAGUUCCCGGUUACGGUGGGAGGUCGGGGGCCGAGCGAUGCGCGUUUCUCUCAUACACGUACGCGCGUGUGUGCGAGGCGUUGGCUCUAACUGAACCCGAGCGAGGCGUUGGGCUCUAACUGAACCCGAGCGAUUGCACUGCAGGCUACGCGUUACUGAACCCGAGCGAUCGAUCGAUGGUUGUUAACUGAACCCGAUCGAGCGAUUCCUCCGCUACUGCUGCUAACUGAAGCCGAUCGAUUGGAUGAACAGUGAGCGUUGCAGGGGGGUUGGAUGAACAGUGAGCGGUGGCGUUGCCUCUAGAUGAACAGGACCCCGUGGUGUGGAGGGCUGGAUGAAUAGUAGAUGGUGGAGGGGUGCCCGUGGAGGGGUGGUUGAACAUGACCCUGUGGUGUGGAGGGCUGGAUGAACAGUAGACGGUGGAGGGGUGCCCGUGGAGGGGUGGUUGAACAGUAGCCGGUGGAGUACCGCGCGGUGGAGGCUGGAUGAACAGGAGCCCGUGGAGGCUGGAGGAGGUCGACGGUAGCCCGUGGAGGCUGGAGGAGGUCGACGGUGGAGAUGAACAGUAUCCCGUGGAGUCCCGUUUUGCUGUACGCCGCACCCCUCCCGAUGAACAGGACCCCCGUUUCGACCGUAGGAGGUCCGUUUCGUCCGUUUUUUGGUACGCCACACCCCUCCCGAUCAACAGGACCCCCGUUUCGACCGUAGGAGGUCCGUUUCCUCCGUUUUGCGGUACGCCACACCCCUCCCGAUCAACAGGACCCCCGUUUCGAUCGUAGGAGGUCCGUUUCCUCCGUUUUGCGGUAUGCCACACCCCUCCCCAUGAACAGUAGCCUGUGGAGUAGCGCGCGGUGGAGGCGGGAUGAAUAGGAGCCCGUGGAGGAACAGUCACAGGUGGAGGUUGGAGGAGGUCGACGGUGGAUGAAGANNNNNNNNNNNNNNNNNNNNNNNNNNNNNNNNNNCUGUUUCCUCCGUUUUGCGGUAUGCCACACUCCUCCCGAUCAACAGGACCCCCGUUUCGACCGUAGGAGGUCCGUUUCCUCUAUCUUGCGGUACGCCACACCCCUCCCCAUGAACACGACGCAUUCCGUUGCCUCCCCAUGAACACGACGCAUUCCGUUGCCUCCCCAUGAACACGACGAUGACGUUGUUUCUCCGUUCUGACCCAGCCAUGUACACGAGCCCUCGCCGUACGUAUGCGCGAGUAGGCGUUCGAGACCCUGCCCGUAUGUACGUACGUGGCCGUAUUUUCUUUCUUGCACCCUGGCCACUGUACGUACGUGUACAUGCUACGUGCGCGCCUCUACUACGACACGUACACGCCUCUACUACGACACGUGCGCGCCUCUACGUCGACCAGUAUAUAUGUACGUACACGUUCGCGACCAGAAUGACAACGCUACGUACGCUUCGACCAGGUGGGUCCCGACUGUCAGGCACUUCCUUGCCUGCGAAGAUGUAGCUGGUGGGUCCCAGCAGUCAGGGGGGCGAAUCAUUUUGGUUUUUUUUGCCCGGACGCACUUCCUUGCAUGCGAAGAUGUAGCUGGUGGGUCCCAGCAGUCAGGGGGGCGAAUCGUUUUUUUUUUGCCUGGACGCACUUCCUUGCGUGCGACGGUGUAGCUGCUGGGUCCCAGCAGUCAGGGGGGAAACGUCUUUUUCAUGAAAUACAGUGGCCCGUCCGGUGGGUCCCUGCUGUUAGGUGGAGGAAUCAUUAUUUUCCGCGUAAUAAGGAGGCACUUCCUUGCUGCCGCCGUGGACCCAGCUGUCAGCCUCUCCACGUACAGUCCACGUCCGAUGGAUGUCGUUCCUUGACCACGUUGACCACGCCACACCGAGAGCACCAGGGCGAUGGACGAAGGCGAGGCUUAGGAAGGGGACGACGCGGAGCCAGUGAAGACGCGGCAGUGGAUGCCCACGCGGAGAGGAGUAUGAGGGUUCCCUCGUUCGGCUGCGGUGUGAGGCUGUCGUCGCCGCAGAGCCUGGCCAGCGGUGGCAAUAGUAGGGGGCGGUGAGGCCUCCACGGCAGCACAGCCGGCCACGGGAGGUAGGAGCAGGCGGCACGACUGGCGCUGCUUUGGCCGGCUGGAGCAAGAAGACCAGAGGUUGAAGAAGCACUACGGCCGUUGGAUGGACAUCGUACGGUCACUGGAGCUAGAAUCGUUCAUAUUGACUAAGUUGACAAAGCCCUCCGUCCCCGUCAACUUAGUAGGCCCACAAGUCAGCCUCCCACCAAGGUGGGUCCCAGCUAGCAGGGGGAGUAUUCAUUUUUUGUGCGUAAUAAGGAGGCUCUUCCGGUGGGUCCGAGCUGACAGCGGGGGGAACGUUUUUUUCGCGAAAUACGGUGGCCCGUCCGGUGGGUCCCAGCAGUCGGGGGGAAACGUUUUUUUCGCGAAAUAAGGUGGCCCGUCCGGUGGGUCCCCGCUGUCAAGUGGAGGAAUAAUUAUUUUGCGCGUAAUAAGGAGGCACUUCCUUGCGGCCGCCGUGGAACCAGCUGUCAGCCUCUCCACAUACAGUACUCUUCCGAUGGAAGUCGGUCGUUGACCAUGUUGACCACGCCGCGCUGAGAGCACCAGGGCAGUGGACGACGGCGAGGCCUAGGAAGGGGACAACGCGGAGCCAGGGAAAACGCAGUAGUGGAAGCCCGCGCGGAGAGGAGUACGAGGGUUCACUGGUUCGGCUGCGGUGUGAGGCUGCCGUCGCCGCAGAAUAACAGGGGGUGUGGGUGAGUGGAGGGAUGGCCUGGCCAGCGGUGGGAGUAGUAUGGGGCGAUGAGGCCUCCGCGGCAGCACAGCCGGCCACGGGAGGCAGGAGGAGGCGGCACGACCGGCGCUGCUUUGGGCGGCUGGACCAAGAAGACCAGAGGUUGAAGAAGCACUACAGCCGUUGGAUGGACAUCGUACGGUCACCGAAGCUAGAAUCGUUUAUAUUGACUAAGUUGACAAAGCCCUUGGUACGCUCCAACUUAGUAGGCCCACAGGCCAGCCUCCGAAACGGUGCGUCCCAGAUGUCAGGGGGAGGAAUCAUUUUUUGGGCAACCGAAGCUAAGAAUAUCCGAGAUUGAAGAAGAAGCACGACAUCCGUUGGAUAGACAUCCAACGGCCACUGCUGCUAGAACUGUGUGUUGACUAUAAUAAGUUGACAAAGCCUUGCAUACGCGUCAACUUAUUUUUUUUAGGGGACGUGUCACUUAGUAGGCCCACAAGUGUGCGGCAGAGAACUUAUAGCCCAUUUGCGUUUUGUAAGAAUGUACAGCCCAUUUUUUAAUUCUAAUGGAAUUUGCAACAGCCCAUUUACAGUUUGUUAAAAGUAUAGCCCAUUUUCUAGCUAGGAAAACGAUUAAUAAUUUCAACCAACCGUUGAAGACAGAAUUCAAUAAAAUUUCCCACAUUUUGAUGGGAUCCGAAAUAUUUUUAUCCCAAAAUUUCUAGUCAGAUUAAAUAUAAAUUUGUAUUACGUAAAAAUCCUACGAAACAUUGCGUGCGCAACAAUGAAAUUUUAAGAUUUUCAAAAUCCAUAAAUAAUAUUUUAUAAACUAAUUUCGUGUUUGGUGCAUUUUUUUAGAGUUACUGCCCAGUUUUUAUAAUUACAUCCCAUUUAUUAUUUUUAAAGCCCAUUUUCCUGUUAAGCCUAAUGCAUCCCUCCUAGGAAAGAUUUGCAGCCCAGCGGGGCGGAGAAUAACAAGUUGACCUUGCCUGGGUAUUCCUCAAAAAGACGUAUAGCUGGGCUAGCCAUUUUCAUCUUGAAAAAAUUAGUAUCUGGGCUGGAUAUCUGGCCUGGGCUAGAUGGGCCACAGCCCGCCCAGUUAGUACCCUGCUCUCCUCUGAACAACAACGAAAUCAUCGCCAAGAAAAACUCUGCAGUGCUCACGCCUCAAAAACACAAAUACUGCUCGAGCUGCUUGGUCCCAGCUAUGGGCCGCACCUUGUGCAAUUCUCUCGUUUAUAUUGACUACAUAGGUUGACAAUGGUGUGGGAGCGUGAUGUCAGCAAACCAGGAGAAAGCAAAAAAAUAGUUGUACAUAAUAAGGAGGCACUUGCAUACGUACGGCAAUGGCCCUAGUAGGUCCUAGUGUCAUCCAGUCAAAAUAAAGUCAUCUCCUGAAUCCUCAUGUUCGUUGACGAUGUUAACAAUGCUCGACGCCACAGCGAGCGCAACAACUCGAAGGACAAUGGAGAGGGCCUCGCGGGCCCUACGGAUGGUCUGAUACAGCGCCCGCUGCUCAUUCAGGAAGCCAGGAUCACCGGACACCUAUGAGCACCUUCGAGAAACUGAGACGGCAUGAAAUGGUAAGGCCACGCUUGGGAGCUCUGGUUUAUUUCAAACAUGUAUUAACAUACAAGUGUAAUUUACUCGUCAUCGGAAACAACGCGUAAAAUACAGGGGUGAUGAAACCGAGGGCCCGAGGUCUGUAAGUAAAACCGGCGGGUUACGCGUGUAAUUUGAGAGACCAGUGUAUAUUUUACGAGCACUGCUAUAUGGACGACAUUACCAGACGAUACAUGCACGACGUGUGUAUCAUGCCAUCCAUGGGCAAGGCUGAAACAGCAGCUAAAGGCUGGAUUAGCAAUCGUCCGAGUGUCGUUCAGCGUUUUUAUCGUGUGUGAAGUACUUCCGAUAUUUUACUAGUCGAAAUCGACCAACCAAGCGCCUUCGCCCGAGACCAUCUGCUUUAAUUUACAAGCGUUAGUUUUACAAGCGGUUUUGGUUGGAAAACGACGAUCCAAUCACGGCCUAAUAUCAUGAGUUCGUCGGAAGAUCAUAUGGUUUCACGUCUAACCUACCCGACUUUUCGUAUAGGCUAUUAAUGAAACAUCAGCCGAUGAACUUCUUAAGCACGGAAACAACAGAAGAGGAUGAUCUUCUUAACAAGAAAAUCACUGGCAUUAGAUCGACAUGCAAAACAAUACGAAGCAUUAUUCUCAGGAGGCACGGUGAACAGCUCGUGAUGCCGCAUGCCACAACAUUCCAAGCUCAACUUUGCAAUCAAACACAAGGCCUGGCAUUACAUAGACAAUAUUCAGAACAAUCUCUUAACACAGGAAUAUCUCAGCAGAGUAACUAUUUACUUCUAAACUGAACACAUGAAUAGGAAAAAACACUCGACGUUGCUCACAGCAAGGGCGUCCCACUCAAAAAUAUCAAAUGCAUGUCUUCUGGCUAACAUCAAUGAGCAAAUUUUGACAAGGUUUUCCAAUUCCAAUAUAUUAAACUAACAUCUUCUUGCUAACAUCAAUGAUUAAACUUUGACAAGCUUUUCCCAUUCAAAAUAUGUAAUGCCUAUGAUCGUGGAGUCCUGUCGUAGCUUCUUGUACUUGUUUGGGCACUUUUUGCCCAGGGCACUCCACGUGUUGUUAAAUUGCCAAUGGUCUCUGCAGACUAGUCAUGUCACCGGUGUCUAAUAAUACUCUGUAAAGCUUCUCAGUCAUUCCUUCUGUAAUGUAGCGCAAACAGUGACUGCUUCUUUCUGCAAAGUGGAACGAACAACUGGACCCAAUAAUGCAGCAGUUUGCCUUGGACACAUUGGCUCCUUUUGUGCAGUUCAACUAAAAUCGAAGUCGGAAUAAAACCGAGCUUUAGUUUUGAUAUCCCUGUAAGCAACAAUAGGUAUAAGGGAAACAAUUACUGAGAAAUAACGGUUGAUGACUUGUACUCCCAGAAGAAAAGCAUCUACUGAUCUACUUUAUCUUAAUGGGAAACAAAGCAGGAGAGUAGCAAUUCUCCAUCAGUGUGAUUCAUUCAUAUUGACUGAGACAUUAUCUUAACAAUCCCUUGUUUCAACAUGUAUAAAGAACGACAAAGCAGAAAAGUACCAUUCCUAAAACAAUGCAUCUGAUUCAUUUGAACAGAGACAUUAUCUUAACAAUACCUUGGUUAAACAUGUAGAAAGAACUACAAAGCAGGAUAGUACCAUUCCUAACAAGUGUUGCAGUUUUCAACUGAGAUUCAGUAGUUAAUUAUUUCUGAGAGUGGCAUUGCUUAAUUUUACCAGCAGCAUUAGAUUAACGAAAAGCAUAAACAGUUCCAGGGGAGAGUGGGUGCAACAACAGUAUGUGAUUCCAUCUACUUAUAAAGGGGGUGAUGCAGAGUUUGUUGUAACAAAGCAACAAGCAUCAUGUCUGGGUUGGUCCCAUUUUUGUUCACUACUUAAUGGGCAAAGACAGCAAUACAAUAGCUUCAAUUCAACAUUUAUUUAAAAUAGUACCAAUACAAGUAGCACAACAUCUCAAAGCACACUGCACAAUCAUGUGGAUGAAGGCCUGUACGGACCUUUCAUGAGACGGACAAAGAUAAAAUACGAAUCUGCCAACACGAAUAGGAAAUCCAAUCUCGUUUUGUGCAGUUGCACUGAAAUCAAGCAAAGUGUUUCGCGUAGCGAAGAAAAAUGUCGCAAUAGCAACAAGUUGAAUAGAUAUCCCUGUUUAAACAGAGGAAAAAAAAGGAAUCAAUUACUGGCUAAUAAAGGAGGAUGAAACAUGCGGCCACAAAAAUGGUAAUCCCGCCAAUCCCUAACAAGUGUUGCAGUUUUUAAAUAAGAUUCAGUAGUUAAUUCUGAGAGUGGCAUCAAUUACUGGCUUAUAAAGGAGGUGAUGCUGAAUUUGUUGUAACAAAGCAACAAGCAUCAUGUCUGGGUUGGUCCCAUUUUUGUUCACUGCUUAAUGGGAAAAGACAGCAAUACAAUAGCUUCAAUUCAACAUUUAUUUAAAACAGUACCAAAACAAGUAGCACAACAUCUCAAAGCACACUGUACAUCAUGUGGUUGAGACCAAGAUUUGAAACAACUAGCCACGAAGACUGGAAACAAAUAUCGAUCUCCUUUUCUGCAGUUCCACCAAAAUUAAGCAAAGUCACCGGUGUGACAUUCAAGUUGAAAUGCACAAAACACUCUUAAAACAUAAGUGUUUCGAGUAGCGAAGCAAGAUGUCGCAAUAGCAACAAGUUGAAUCGAUAGCCCUGUUUUAAUAGAGGCAAAAAAGGAAACAAUUACUUGCCGAUAAAGGAGGAUGAAACAAACGGUGACAGAAAGAAGCAUCUAACUUAUCUUGGAUGGAAAACAAAGUAGGACAGUAGCAUUUCUAAAACGGUUGCAUUGAUUCAUAUUAACAGAGACAUUCUCUUGAAACAACAUUCGUUAAAAAAAUGUAAUUUACUUUUAACAGUGGCAUUGCUUCAAUUCUCUGGCGGCAUUCUUAGAUUAACAACAGCAAAAUAGUUGUAUGGGACAUGCCAGCACCAUGUGCGUCCACACGUAUAAAUGGGUGAUGCAGAGUAUGUAGCCAAGCAGCAUAUAUGUGUUGGUCCCAUAUUUGUUCUCUUUGAACCUUCUUCCUAUGUGAGGGCAGCAAAUCUAGUCCUACACAAACUACCCGACCCCCCAGUUUCUUUCCCUUUUCAACAAAGAGAUCAGUUCCUUACAGAUGCGUGUACUGGGUUACCCCCUUUUUCCCUUUUCGACCUACAAAGCGGCUGGAUAGCCAGUCUAUACUACUUUCCGCCCCUCCUUUCCUCAUUGAACCACGUCCUAGAUUCUUGCUCCAGCCCACCGCACCCUUCUUUCCUCUUUGAACCAAGGCCUAGAUUCGACUACAGAUCGAAAAAGAUCCACAUGCAGCUAGAUCAACGACGGUUUCAAAGAAACUUAUACCUUAGGGUCGUCGGGAUGUGGCAAGGCGUGCGGCGGGAGGCCGGAUCUGCCCACACUACGUACGGCAGCGAGGAAGAAGGGGUCGGUGGCCCUCCCGCACAGGCGCUGGGUGAAAGAGAACAGCGCAGCCGGCAGUGGAUUCCCUCCCUCGCCGAAGGCGAUAGAGUGAACGCUGCACCUCCUCCCCUUCCCGGUGCGACGGGAUACGGACGCCUCCUUCACCAGCUGUGAGGGGGGAGAGAGAGACAAGAGGCCAACGCAGUCUUGUUUAGAUCUGGUGAAGACAGGGUGAGAGACUGUGAAUAUAGCAAACCCUAGCAAAUGAACGCUGAGCCUCCAGCGUGUAACAUAUAUGGAGAGGGUGAGAGAGCGAGAUGCGAGAAACUCUAUCAAACAAGAGGCUAUAAUGGAGUAAAAAAAUCUCUCCAUAACAGUGGUUUUAAAUAGAAUACGCGCGUUCCCGGAAAAAAGAAACGUUAACUGGCGGACAAUUUUUUAAGGGUCUGUCUAGGACACAUCUAGAUGUGGCAUAGUUAUGUCACAUCUAAGUUGAUGUCCACAUUGUUUGCGGUCUAUUUUUUUCCUAGUUUUUUUUGUUUCUUGUUGCUACAUUAUAUACUUGUGGGAGCUUAGAUGUGAUAUCCUUAAAUAACAUCUAGAUGUGAAUUAGACAAACUGAUUUUCUAACGUACCAAGAAAGAAAACUCGAUCAAAAAACGCCCCCGCUUCCAGGUCGCGAGAGUCGUCGCGCACACACACAUAGACAUAGACAUGCAUAUCCGUGUUUACGUAAAAUUCCAUUUCCAUCUCCAUCUCCAAUCAUAUUUGUCCAACUGGCACAUUAUUUAUGUUGUUAAUUAUAUGCGCAUUAAUAUUAACGUACAACAUCUCUUGUUUGCGCACGUCCGGACCGCUGCCACGGCCGGUCCUGACCAACCCGAACCCUCUUCAUCACCCGCACGUGCUUCCCGCCCGAAACGGUCAGUGCCGCAUUCAUGCCCGGCCAGAGCGGACGCGACCUCUCACUGGCGCCGGCAUUGAAGCAGCGGCCGGCCGAGAGAGCAUCGCCCGCGCCACUUCCGGGUGCACGCGGCUGCUCCGCGUUCAAAGGUCGCAAUAGCCGGCUACAACAUGCAUGUAAAAAGUUCUUGGGAGUCUGUGCUACAUCUAGGUGUCCUCCCCUAACUCGUCAAUCUCUUCCAGUAGUGCUAGUACUCCAUGGCGCGAUCCAUCGACAAGCAGGCGGGAAAGUUAUCGUAUACUCGGUUUGCGGUGAGUGGCAUGCCGAGCGACCAUGUGGGGUCGAGCCGUGGAGGAGGGUGAGACACGAACACGACAGACGUGAUUUAAACGUUGGUUUUGCUCGAUGGCGCGAUCCAACGAAAGGAAAUGUUGGUUUCUCUCCAUUUCCAUUUUUUCUCCGGAAAAACGGAAACUUUCCACUCCAUUUUCAUUCCUAUUCCAAGGUUGCCCCGUUACAACAUUCCAUCAAAUACAAAGGAAAACUAACACGCAUGCUGAUGCAUCUCAAUGAUUCACAGAUCAUAGCCAAUAUUUACUUCACAACUAAAGAAAAAAGUUGUGAGAGCGUGUAUGAAAGAAAAACUACUGAUGGGGUCACUACGACUUAAACCCUAAACCCUAAACAUGAUUUAAUUUCCUGGCCAAGUAGAACCUAUCAAAGGAAAGACGGCUGGCACCCUCGGAUCAUACGAUGCUUUUGUGCAGUUCCACUAAAAUCGACCUGAGCAUCCCUGAUGGCAAAGAUAUUGAAGAAGUGUGAUUAGAAUAAUAGUACUGGCACUAGUUCAUCAGACAUAAACUUAUCACAAGUAGAAGCCGGUAGAAGUAGAGAAAGAUCGACAUGGAGAUGGAGCUACGGCAGUGGAGCAAGCCGGCUCCAAAAGAAAGAUGGACUACCUGGGGCGUCGGGCUGUAGCUAGAAGGGCGGUUGGGACGUGGCAUCGGCCCAUACCGCGGUGACCCCCGAUUGGGACGCACCGACUGUGGGUUUUCUCCCUCGCCGAUGUCGACCGCGUCUAUGCAGAACAUUGUUCCCUUCCCCCAGCUGCGGGAUCAGGCCCGUCGUUCUAUGCUUGUGAAGAGAGCAACCUAAGCAAGCAGGCUUGUAGCUUAGGCUCCUGCUAGUGUAUAUAUAGUGGUUUUCUUUUUCUCUCCAUAUCAACCAUUUUAUAUUGCGUACGUGUCAUUCAAGAGUGAAAUGAUGGUUGCUCUUCCGACUAACUUACUAUGUGAUUUGACUGCUCCUUAGUGGCCCCUACACGUACUCCCCCUACGUGUAUGCAACAGUCACACGUACACAUGGACGCAAAAACGCGCGCGACGCCCUAAUGCAUGCAUGUCCGAGCACACGAUGGAACACACACGGUCACGCUCAAGUGCUCAACCUACACGUGCAUGCACGCACAUACUCAGUCAGGGUGAGCUAGUGACCAUAUAAACACCGGAAAAUAUAUAUAUUGAGCGCAAUGAGCGUAUUAUGAAGUCCACUGACCGUAUUUUUACAAAUAUACAGUGACAGACAGUGUAUUUAUCUCGUUUGAAAUUAAGCCAUAUUAACCGGAGAGGAGGCAGUAUGGACUAGCAUUACUUUGAUGUGUCCCGUCAACUUGCUGAACGAAGAGAAGGUUGCAGGAUGGGAGAAGCUUGCACGCGGUGGCUCGCAUGACAAGGAGAAACUUUUGACUAAUGCAAGCUCUCCCUCGCUCAGGCGGUGGACGUCCAACAGUUAAUUCGGUGUCAGAUUGCCAGAAGCAUACACUAUACUACUAGUGCUAUUAUUGUUCGACUUCCCGAAUAGGUGAACAGCCAAGCGCAAAGUUUACUAGUACUACUACUAUAGUCUAUAAAGGUACAUACUAUACUAGUACUAGGAACCGGAUGGAGGAGCGUCUGCACUCUUAUUAUAAUUUUAAAAUGUGAUAAAGCAAUCUUCAACACAUUUGGUUCUCUUCGAGGGUUCUCGCAUGUGAUAAUGGAAGUUGAUUGCAUGGAACACUCGCCACAAUUCUCGCUUAAUUCUGGCUCAUAUCCUGUUACAAAUAGUAGCGCUUGGUAAUAUUUCCUCUUUUUUUUGUUAUUCAGCAUGUAAACAGGUCAGCAAACCUUGCGGCGCAUCUUCGUGCGAACCGUGCUUGCUGCACUUUGAAUGUGGCCGAGAGCUGGCUUGAUGAAACACCUCGCUUCCUACUUCUUUUUUGCGGGGUACCUCGCUUCCUAGUGACCAGUGUCUUGGCUGAUCGUCCUAAGAAUGCUUAUAUAUGAAUAAAGCUCUCUCAUUUACCCGCAAAAAAGAUUAAGCCAUAUUAACCGGAAAGGAGGGAGUAUGGACUAGCAGUACUUUUUGGUGUGUCUCGUCAACUCGCAGAACGAGGAGAAGCUUGCAGGACAAGGUGAAGCUCGCUUACGCCUUUUGACUAAUGCAACCUACCCUCGGUGGACAUGCAUCAGUCCAUUCGGUGUCAGAUUGUCAGAGGCAUACACUGUAGUACCCAACAUGCGGAGUACCAUCAUUGUUCGACUUCACGAAGAGGCGAAGAGCCAAGCGCAGUAGUACGAGUAGUACUACUACUAGAACCGCAUGGUGGAGCAUAUGUACUCUUAUUUUUUUAUCUCUGAUAAAGUACAUGUUUAUUCCGGAGAAGGGUGCAAAACGACAACCCAACAUGUAAUGAAUGAUAUCGAUCAACCAACCAUGCUCGAAUAUAUCUUGGCCUCCGUGCGAGCCCGUCUGUGUGUUCUCGCUCCUCGUCUCUCUCAAGGAACGGCGGGUUGGCUCUUUGCCGUCAAUUGAGAUCGGUUUGCUCACACUCUUGUCCCACAUGUCAGUGAUAUGCCAAGAGGAGGUGUGUUGACCGACUGGCCAUACGCGUACUUGGUUUUGCACCUUCAUACUACUCCUCCCUCCAUCACAGUUUACAGGGCGCGCUUCAUUAUGAUGCAUUUCUCUCAAUGCAUUUCCACCACCAGAGAGACUUUAGACGCGUUUGGUUUAAUGCUCAAUUAAUUAGGGUGUGGUAACCGCAAUCAAGUCCACAAUUUUCUCUCCAUGUACUGUACUACUAUGGAGUGCAGUAAGUGCAUGCAUGUGUGUACCCGGGGUGGAAGCACUGCAUGCAUGUGUGUACGCAUUAUUCCCUCUAGUAAUAGACGCCGUGCUAUAACUACCAAUGCUAUUUUUUCAGGCCGAUCGCUAGUCGCCUUGGUCCCACAGAUUUUUUUUUCUUUUUUCUGAAGCGCGCUGUAUAAACAGUGACGGAUGGAGUAGUAUGAGCGGAUUCAAAGAAGAGCGUAUUGAUGGUUGCUUCUUCAGAUCAACUUACAGUGGGAAAGGUGGGGCUUAUGAUUUGACUGCUCAUUACUCACUAUUAAUGCGGCGCAACGACUGGGCUGAGUCUCCCAUGCGGUUGUGCACUACCCCCUCAGUUCUUAAAUAUACUCCGGAGUAUUUGUCUUUCUAGAGAUUUCAACGAGUGACUACUCAAAUAUUUGUCUUUUUAGAGAACUGGCACAUACGGAUGUAUAUAGACAUAUUUUAGAGUGUAGAUUCACUCAUUUUGCUCCGUAUGUAGUCACUUGUUGAAAUCUCUAGAAAGACGAAUAGAGUAUUUAGGAACGGAGGGAGUACACAUAUGAAGCAAAAUGAGUGAAUCUACACUCUAAAAUAUGCCCGUUUGAAAUUUGUAAAAAGACAAAUAUUUAGGAACGAAGGAGUAUAAUUUUGUGCAUGGCACAUGGACCCGGAUGAUGAAGAGGCUUCUGGCAAUGCUAUCAAGCUUCCAUCAUUUGUUUACAUAAUUGACGUACUAUACAAAUAAUUUUCCAGCGACAUGAAAUUGUACAAUGGUGUGAGCUUUCAGCUUUUGUUUCGCGUGUCUUGCCAUCGAUGCUCUUUCGGAAACAAUAAAAAACUAACUUCCUUGCUAAUGCAUGUCAAUUAUUAGCAGAUCAGAGCUAAUAAUUACAUCACAACUAAAGACAGAGUUGUGAGAAGGUGUUAAAUUAAAAUUGAUCCAUGCUUUCAUUGGCAGCAACGUCCCCCAGCUCUGUCUAAAUCAACAAGGCAUGUUGGGAAAAAAGUAGCUGUCUGGAGCAUGCAACAUUCUGAUCAUUUUGUGCAGUUCCACUAAAAUAGAGCUGAGCGUCCCUGUUCCAAAGAUAUUAAGUGUGAUUACGAUAAUAGAGGACUGCUGAUGAAACAAUAAACACACAAAUUGAAGCCGGUCACCUUUGCAGUCUCUCUUAAGACUAACUAGUUGGAGAAGAUUAGGCUCGGAGUUGGAUGAGGAGGAUAGAGCAAAACCAAUCUCCCUUUGUGCGGUCGCACCGAAAUGUAGAGACGUUGCCCGUGUGACAUUUUAGUACAACUGCACAAAACACUCUUAAGAAAAAAGUGAUUUGUGCAGUUCACCAAAAGGUCGCAAUAGCAACGAGUAGAAAGGAAACAAUUACUGGCCCAUAACAGUUGAUGACACAUGCGACGACAAAAAAGAAGCAUAUUCCUUGUCCUAAGGGAAGAUAACAACCACGGUUGUGUUUGUCUAAAACGGUGUGAGGACGAGAAUGCAAUAUGGAAAGUACGUCGGACGAGCUACGUUUUGGGCAAAGAACUAUGGAAGAUCCACAUGCAGCGACGUGGGAAGACGGGCAGUGGAGCAAGGCCGGAGGGGAUACCUGGAGGUCGACGGGAUGUAACUAGGUGAGCGGCGGCGGGCGGAAUCUAUGAGCAGGUGGCGUAGGCCCUGCCGCGCCGGAGCUUGGUCAGAGAGAACGGCGUGUACCGCAGAUAGGGACGUGCUGCCUCGGCGCCGUCAAACGGCGAAACGAUGCACUUCCUCCCUUUCCCCCGGCGGACGGGAUGCGGCCAGAUCAGUGACCAACGGUGAGAGAGAGAGAGGCCACCACACUCCCUUUCCCCCGGCGGACGGGAUGCGGCCGGAUCAGUGACCAACGGUGAGAGAGAGAGAGGCCACCGCAGCCUUAUGUGAGAUACUCUGAAGAGCGACAAACCAGGCAGGCAGGCUCCAUUGUAUAUAGUGAGCGGACUACCUUUUUCUCCAUAAAAAUCGUUUUAUAUUCUGUGUACGUGCCAUUGAGCGCUAUAACUUUAUUUAAAAAUAACGCGGCAACGCGUCAAGUCGAACUUUGUUUCGUGCACGCGUGGUACACGACCUCCCUAGGUAAACAACCACUACAGGCGUUCAAAUUAGCACGUGGGCUGCCAUUUCGUAAAGAAAUGAGCUCCACCGUGUACCCGCGCGGGUGUGGCUGGGCACGAAGCGUGAGUAUGUGCACGGUGCACCUAUUCUCUUCUUGUAUACGUACACCACCUACGUGGGGUUGUGUGAGAGAGAUACAAACCUAGAGAGAUAUAGUGUGUGGGUUCUUGAGAGUUUUGGGGGGGUUCAAUCAAAAAAUGUAACAUAUGCAAUGUGUGUGAAAUAGAGUCCUGGAUAUAACAUAUAUAUAGAGGGGGCGAUCCACGAGAAGAGAGUGGAGGUAUCAUCGGCUUGAGGUGUCCAUAGAAUCGAAGAGAGGGAUGAUGUGUGUGUGUGCGCGCGCGUGCGAUCGAUAAAGAGUGCCAUCGAAUUUGUGUGUGCCCACGUCAAAGAUAUAGAGUGGCUGGCCUACUGGAACGUGAGAUGGGACAUGUGCAGUUUGUCUCUGUGGCAUGGAUACCUACCUGCAGCGCUCGACUAUCGGUGUGUGGUGGGGGAAGAGGGAGGCCCAAUUAACUAUAGAGGUACAAUGGCUGGUAUAUGUGUGGAGGAGGAGAGAGGCCUACCUCAUGUAUUAAGGAGAUCGAUCUGCCUCAUGUAUUAAGGGAGAUCGAUCGGCAUCCAUGCAUAUGUGCAGAAGAGGAAUAAGGUUGGGAGAGAGACAGAGCUAGAGUGUUGGAGGGGGUGGUAGUGGAGUUGCUUCUAACAAAUGGUGGGAUAGGCUUGCUAGACAAACGGAGGGCACGCCCGCAAUAUCAAUAAGAGAGGAGAUGGCUGCUUGUUGUCUAUGCACGUGCGUGUGAGAGACGGGUCAGGAGGCAUGCACAAAUGAUGAGGGGGGACGAUGUGGCUGUGUUAAGCAGACGUAACUACAUAGGAAGAUCAAUCGCCCUUUGUUAGAGAAAGGAGAGACAUAACUUGUGAGGUACGUCGAUCGAUGGGGGGUAGUUAAAGUCGAUCUAGGUAUAUGUUGGGAGAUCGAUCGGUAUACAUGCAUGUGUGCGUUAGAAGCAAAUGAGGCACGAGGAGAAGGAUAGAGAGAGAGGGAUGCAUGUAGGAGGUGGUACGAGAGGCAUACUAUAUCGAGGGGGAGGAGUGUGCGAGUACGAGAACGAUGAAAAGAGUGGUGGGAGUGAGGCAUGGACGGUGACAAGAGAAGAGGGGAAGCUUGUGUUUGUGCUAGGCACACCUGGCUAGAGAGGCAUAUCGAUCGAUGUGUGCCGUAAAGAAGGAGCUGGGGGCCUACACACACCGUGGGUGAACGACCUAAAGUGAAAAGAUGAAUUUGCGCGACGGAGCUAGAGAAUGCUAAGGGAGGGUGAGAGGGAUGCGGGCAUGUGCAUGCACAAGAGAAAGUUAGCGCUAGCUACAAAGAUAAGAGGGUUGUGUGGGUGUAAAAGAGGAAUAGAGAUCAUAUAUACUUCAUUAUAAAAAGCGAAUUCAGAUAUUUGAAGAAUUUAUCAUAGUGUUACAAACCGACGCAUGUAUGAAUAUAUAUAACGGUGAUACACAUGGUGUGGUUAUGAACAUGUUAUACUACAUUUAAUAUAUUUUAUCUCUACUCUUAUAAAAACAGAGUUGUUGAUGAUGGUGUGCCUGCCAUCCUGCAUUAUAGGCCGUCCGAUUUAUAUCUGGCGGGUAGCAAGGAAACUAUGAUGGUUGAAGUUGGCAACAAUCAUGAUUGUAGAUUCUUAUUGAAAUAGAGAAACGAAUUCAAAUUUAGUUCGAAUUGCAACGGUAGUAUAGACAUUUGGAAUGCACUAAAAUGUUGGUAUGAGUAGGUUACAUGCAUUAUACAGCAAGCGAAAAAAUUUAAUCGGACAUAACAUGGAUUCAUACUCCCUCCUUCCAACUAUAUAGGGCGUAAUGAGAUUUUUAAGACCGCCUUUGACUAUUGACAAGAUUAAUAGUACAUGACAUGCACAAUGUGAAAAUUAUAUCAUUGAAAGAACCUUUCACAGACGAAUUUAAUGGUGUGCUUUGUGUAAGUUGCAUGUCAUAUAUCAUUGCUCUAAUAUUUGGUCAAAGUUAGCAUCGAAAAACGCAUUAGGCCCUAUAUAGAUGGAAGGAGGGAGUAGCUUUGAAUAGCAUUUGUAUAGUAAAACGGGGCAAGACUCUCUCUUUGUGUGGUGUGAAUAGUUUUAUUUUUUUCAUUUUCUUUUUGGUUGAGGGAAGUGCAAAUUGAUUUGGUACGUACAAGUACAAUAUUACUACACGUUAGGAUUGUCCCUAAAAUUCAACCCGCGUCUUGUUAUAUCCCGAAAAUUCAGAUAUCGUGCUCCCAAAACUAGCGCCUUCACAACCCGCGCCUUGCUAUCCCGAAAUUACAACACGCGCGAUAACUCCCUCCAGCUGCCAAAUCCCGACACACGAAAUCCCCCUUCUAACCCUGAGCCGAAAGGGCCGCUAGUUCAAAUCGGUGGGGGGUACUUUUGUAACACACCCUACAUUUUGGACAAGCGCGUCCCUAAGUCAUGCUUCACCCCCUCCCAUCGCCCCCUUUUCGCCAUUCGAAAUCCCAGGCCGCCAUAACCUCUCCGCUCCAGCCGCGAAACCCCACCCUCCUCCCUCCGCCACGUCAUCGCUGCCCAGCCGGAGCCUCUUCCCCGACGACGUCGUCCAUCACAACAGCUCGACGUCCCUCGUCCACCUUCCCGGAUGAGGAUCCGUCGUCCAUCUCGCCGUCCCACCGGUUCAGCCGCCCCGUCCUCCACCUCCAAGGAGCUGCUCCGACGAUCGCCUCGUCUAUCGCGGCUGCUCCAUCCCCACAGCGCCGCCUUAACCUGCUCCACCGGAACCGCAGCAUCCUCACCAACUCCUCGGACGAAGCCCAGGCCUACUCAGCGCCACCAAAGAGGUUAUACACUCAUCGCAUCGCACCUUCUCCUUAACUCGACCUCCCGGCGCCGACGGUGCUCCAUCCCGCACCCCCAUGGAGCGGCUACCUUGAAGCCGGCGCCGCGGGCGACAUCUCCACGGCGGCUCUCCCCCAGUGCAAGGCCCCUUCGGCGGCGGCGUCCAUACCAGCCGGAUCUGCUGCUGCUGCUCCGGCUCUCGCUCGAUCGCUCGCUCGCCCAGCUGCUGCUGCUCCUCUCCCCCUCGCUCGUGCUGCUGCUCUGCUCCGAUUAAGCCACACUUCAGUCGACUGAAUCGACUUUUGGGUCAGUCGAUUUCCAGGGGUUGGGGGGGCUCGCCGGAGUUAAGGAAGAACCACCCGCAGCGGGGACGGGGGCUCGCUGGAGAGGUACCCCACUAUCUAUCUUAGGGUUCAGGGUGGGGGCGGGGGGCCUAGAGGGCUGGCCGGGGCGGCGGUCGCGAGUUGUUUCGGGGCGGCGAGGCAGCGCUGGGGCUGGCGGUUCGGCCGGUGGUGGCUGGCGGCUCAGGGGGGUGCAGGUUGAAGAUGAACUGCAGGCCCUCCCUAAACUACAUGUCAAGUGCCUCUCUGCUACCAUUGCGUUCAGUUUUGACAGUAGCAUUCAGAUUCCAUAGUAAAUUUCAGUUUCGACAGUUAAGUUCAGAGUCAACAGUUUUUACCUCAUCUAUUGUAGUCAGGUGGUUUUUGGUGAUGUUAAUUUUACAUCCAUUUUACAUCAUCUAUUGGAGAUGCUAUUAGAAUCCCACUUGAGAUUGACGAUGUCUGUCUUGUGCUGCUUCAGCCUUGACGUCUUACGGCUCACCGGAGCUGCUCCAACGACAGAACGAUCCAUCACAACAGAGCAGUGCCCUGGACGCCGUCUACAGAUUCCUCAGAUCUUCCUCCACACCUCCGACAGCCACCUCUGCCUCAACUGCUUCAGCGACCAACCCAAUGAUGCUGAGGUCGACACGGCUACGGCAAAGAGGUUGUACACUUGUUGCAUCACUUAUUACUAUACAUUCACGUCGAUCCAUUAGGGCUAUUUUGGUUCAACGGAAAAACGUCGAUCCACUCGUUGUUACCAUCACUCUAAAUUUCUGCAUGCUCUCCUUACAUAAUCUCACCAUAUUUUUUUCGUAUGCAUGUCAGAUAUUGUACACAGUCAUGUUGAACAUGUAGAGAAAAAGAGAAGAGUUUUGCACGGCAAUACAAUGUCAUGCAGACAUCGCUCCAUGGUGGGUUCAAUGGCAGACCCUCCCCACCCCUCUCUAGAUUGUAAUCCAGAGGAAGAUAUCUGUUCUGAGGCGGAUUCAGACGCCGCUGACCACUCCUAUUUACCCCCCAAGGUGUUUGCUCUACCUUGGCAUGAUGAUGUUAGUCAUAUCAUGCAUAUGUUGCCUUGCAGUGCCUACUUUUGACAUCAUAUAUGUCAUCUGCUUAGUUUAGACAUGUUCUGUAAUGCCACCUGUUUAGUUUCUAUAUCAUAUAUGGGAAUUAUGCAGUCUCAUGUCUUUUAGCCAGCCAUAAUAUAUGUGAAAUGUGCAAUGCCAUCCUGUUUAACUAGGCAUCAUAUAUUUGAAUGAUAUCUUGCCCAUCCUUUUCUUCAUUACAUUUCCAUUUGUCGACAAUGUUUGUACAUUAAACUACUCUUCCUGUGAAUCAGCCAUUUGGGUGGGAGAUGGAAAAAUCUGGAGUGAAAACAAGGCCUUCAGAGCAGACAGUGCUACCUGUCGAAGCAGAUCUCUUGUUGGGUCCCGAUAGCUCCUCAGAGAUGGAUUCAGAGACAGAUGACCAGUCCUAUUCCCCCACUGAGGUGUAUGCUCUAACUUGGCACGGUUAUACUGCUCAUAUCAUGCAUACGGUGUCUUGCUUGCAUAGUUUAGACAUCAUAUACACAAUAUUCAACACCAUGUUCUUAGUUCAUACAUCAUAUCGAAUGCCCUCUGUUUAGCAUAUAAAUCACAUAUGUGAAUUAAAUGAUGCGAUCCUGAUUACUUAGAUAACAUGUAGGUGAAUUAUGUCAUGCGAUCAUGUUUAGUUAUUCAUCAUAUCUUUGAAUUAUGUUGUGCUAUGCUAUCCGGUUUAGAUAGACAUCAUAUAUGUGAAAUUAUGUCAUGCUAUCUGUUUUAGUUAAACAAUAUACAUGUCAACUAUUGCAUGCCCUCUUUUUUCCACACUAUCUAUUGCAUCUGUCUCUCAUACAAUGUCUGUACAUUCAACUAUGUUUCCUGUUUAUCAGCCAUUUGAAUUGGAGCGGGUGAUGCUAGUAUCUAGCGGACUAAAAACACGGUCUUCAAAUAAAACAGUGCUACCUCUUGGUGGAGAUAGCACCCCGGUUGUACAUGCACAAGAACCAGCCCUACCACACAUAACCCAAACUCUCGCAGAUUGUACCCCUACUGCGAUGGACAGAGAACCAGCUUCACCCAAUCUAACCCCAACCCCAGCCGAUAGUAACCCAGUUCCUGUUGACACAGCACCAUCUCCACCACAAAGCUCCCAAACAAGAGUAGUUAGUAAGGCAGCUCUAGUGCCCAAAGGGCCAGUACUAUCACGGCGAACCCCAACUCCACCAGUUAGUACGCCUAUUCCUGUGGAGGAAGCACAACCAGCUAGUCGUAGUUUAGCAUCUGUCGCAUUUGAUGUUGUUAAAUCGUAUGUGCGUAUCUUCCCAUCUUGGAAAUAUUAUACUGAAGAUGAAGGAAAAUGCCAGUUGCGGGUGUUUGUCCAGGAGUUAUGUGUAAGUAAUGUUAUUCAUGGCAAUUACUUUGCUUCGUCCCAUACAUCCUACCUCCAUGAUGGUUAUAAUACAUCAAAUUUUCCCAUUUUUCUCUAUAGAGAAGGACCGAUUUGGAAACUCUGGAUGAGGUAACCUGUGCUAAUACCUACGCUAUCUUCAAGAAUGCUUGGUGGCAGUAUCGGAAUUACUUGAAGAAAACGUACUUCACCGGCAAAGAAACUCAUGAAAUUCCCUUACGUUCUCCUGAGACACAUUUACUGGACGAUGACUGGGAACGCCUUGUUCUGUACUGGUGCCGAACCAAGAAUGUGGUAAGGUCUAUGAGCUCAUUUUCUAUUUUUUAAUUAUUAUAUUCUUGCGUCUUACUGUACUCUGUUCAUGUAGAACAAGUGCCUAAACCUGAAGAACAACUGUUCUAAUUUAAGAUUCCAUUGCUAUCAUAGUUCAAAAAAGUGCUAGGCGUUAAUUGUGCGUUUUGCCACCGCCUUGCGCUUUACUGACCAAAGCGCAUGCUUAUGCGCAGUUAUGCACAGAUUAUGCAUAGUUAUGCGCAAUGUGUUUUGCCAACGCCUAGAGCCUAGGCGCGCUUAAGCGCUCGCUUAGGCGCGCCUUUUUUAACUAUGAUUGCUUUGCUCUUGUAUCACUGUAUUUACUCAUACAAACUUAUUUUUAAAUUGAAGGAUCCAAUCGAAACUCCAAUGGCACAGCAGGUAUGUUCACGCAUGUUUCUUUAACAGGUUUGCUCUUAUAAAUAGCUCUGUUGAUUUCAAUUUCAAUUGUGUAUACAGUUGACUUUCAUAUCAUGCACAUUACUAGCAUCACAACAGAGCCAAUAGUGUUGUUGUACAUGUAGACCCGUGGUACCCAUCUGAAAUCUUGUUGUGCCGUGUAGUUUCCCACGCUUUGUAUUCUUUCACUGCUGCUUUGUCUUGAACUGAUAUGAUUUGAACCGUGUCUCUAUUUUGAUUUGGCAAGACAAUGCAGUGACCAUAGGACAUAGAUAUAUGUUUGUUUGAUGCUUUUAUUAUGUACUAGUACUUGGCAAUAGAAGACUUGGUAGUUUAAUCCUGUCCACCUUACUAAUGAACUGGUUCACCGAAAUGCGUUUCAUAUACUAGUACAUGCUAAACUUGUUAUGUGUCUGCUUGUUUCUUCUUUUAGAAUGCUGACAGAAUAUUGGGGAAGAGUGCCUUAUUAAGCAAUGGUAAAGGAAGUAAUGCAGAUAAGGUUCAGGAUAGUGACACAUCCUUGUUGGUCUCCAACAAAGCUGAUAAAACAGCUAAGGAAGACUAUCUUGAAGACAGCGAGACAACCCCAAAGUCCUGUCUUGGUUUAGUGUUCGAGUUACUGGCCACUACCGCUUGCACAAGCUAUUCAAACUCACUGUAUGAAUCAGUUCGGUUUCUUGAGUCUCAACUACAAGCUGAAAGACAUCGAUCAGUUGUGCUGCGACAAGAAGCGGAAGGACUACGGAAGUCCCUGGAGCAUUCAGAUGCAUACUUUCUGGUGCAACAACAAGCGUUGGAGGAUUUUAGCGCCAAACAGGACAAAGCUAAUCAGCUUGCUAAGCUUAUUGCCAGCAUGGUGGAUACCCAGGAUAACAUUUCUUGAGCUCUUCUGAAGUUGUUUCAGUUAUGCUCUUGUUUUGCUGCCAUGUUUAUUUGCACUGGUGGCCAAUUUUGACGGCCAGUGUAUGUAAUGUGCUGCUUUGUUCCCUAUAUUUGCACUGGUGGCGAACUUUGAUGCCCAGUGGAUGUAAUAUGUGUAAUAGCGGUAAUAGGCUAGUGUUAAUUGCUUGCUUAUUUAUUUCUUUAUUGUCUUGUUUAGUUGUUUGCUUGUAGUCAUUGCAGUUCUUUUUCUAUUUUUUCUAGUGGCCAUAAUAGCCUAUUUUUGGUAACUAGGCCAAAAUAAUCAUGGCAACACACGGACUGUUGUAACCAUGGGCCUCCUGCAGGCCGUAUGAUCCAUGGGCCUUCGUCCGGCUGUAGGAUCCAUCGGCCUUCUAUAUGGGCCUUAGGGUCCAUGGGCCUUCUACGGGCCGUACAAUCCAUGGGCCUUCUACGGGCCGUACUAUCCAUGGGCCUCAUACGGGCCGUAGGAUCCAUGGGCCUUCUACGGGGCGUAUCAUCAUUUCGCCAAUCAUGGGUCGUACUAUUCAUGGACCAUAACGGGCCGUUAAUAGGCCGUAUUUGAUAACUCUAUGAAAACAACCCAACUGGUUUUUUUUACAUGAAAACGGCCCAACAUAUUAACGGUCCGCAAACGGGCCGACUGUAACGACGGGCUGAAUUUGGCCCACAAGCAGAAAAUGACAGUAACGGGCCGUAUGUAACCGAAUGCUGCAAAUGAGCCCAAGAAUCAAUGGGCCCUGAGAAGGCCAAAAGAUAACUUGGGCUGGAAACGGCCCAAUGGAAUAACGGGCCGUUAAUGGGUAUAAAGUGAUACACUGUUCAUUACGGGCCAGUUUCACCACGGGCCGUUAAUGGGCCAAGAGUUACAAAGGUCCUCAUAUGGGCCAAAAGAAAUCAUGGGCCACACAUGGGCCAGAAGUUAAAACGGGCUGAAUCAUAUUGGACGGCCCAGAUGACGCUACUGGGCCUAAUUCGGAUAGGGCGUAACGGGCCCUGGGUUAGCGGGCUGUAAAUGGGCUAUAUGCGAACACGCCGUUAACAGGCUUUCCGUGGGCCGGCCCGCCACCUUUUGACCAAGUCAAACAGGCCGGCCUUUUCACAGGAAUGGGCCUCUGUUGGGCCGUGCCACGUGUCGCCGUAUCAUAGGCGCCUUCGGUCCAAUGAGCGGAUGACAUCUAUCCCAACGGUGAGCCGACACGUGUUUCCUCCAGCUAAUGAUGAUUUUACACGUGGAAAAUCCCCAUUGGUCGGGGCUGUUAACGGGUUAUCAGAACCAAAACCCGACCCGAUAGCUUACGGCGUUCCGUUACGGUGGAUGCCACAUGUCGGUCACCCUUGACGAAAGCACUUCUGUGACGCGCGAUGUCAUGGAAGUGGACACUUCCAUGAUGAUAAUUUUGGUAAUGUCAUGGAACACUUCUACGACAGCACAGGUAUGACUAUCUUGAUUCUGUCAUAAAAUCGUCAUGGAUGUACAUGCAUGACAAAAAACGCGACCUACUGUGACAAACACGUAUCAUCACGGAAGUGUAUUUUUUUGUAGUGCUUGUCGCAUACUAGACAGCUUUUCUUCCAUUAGGAAGAGCUUAAGCCGUCCAGGUAUGUCCUCCAGAGGGGUAUUGUGAUUAAGCUCGUUUUGAAUGAACGUAACCCAUCCAGGAUCCUGCUCGUAAAGGCUCAGAUAGAAGUUUAGCCCUACUAAAUGAGCUAAAGCUUGGGGAUCCUGAAUCUCUGGAGGAAGAGUAAUAAUGAAGGAGGCUCCGAAAAGAUUGAAAAUUGGGAGAAGACUAAUCAAAAUAAAACGCACUAUAAAUAAAAAUAGACAAAUAGAAAAUAAUAAAAAAUCGUAUAUAUAAGGAAACUUAAUACAAAAGUGCAAAUAGAAAGCAGUAAACCUGCUAUUGGAGAAGAGCCAUCGAACCAUAUUUGUCAUUUUUUAUCUGAGAAAUGAAAACUUUCCUUAUCAAAGAGGGGUCGGGGGGCUGGAAGAGAAGAACUUGAAUACUAAACGCUGGAAGAGAAGAACCUUAAUACUAAACCAAGUUUCGGGAACUUCUUGGUGACUUGAUUGGUUCCCUUCCCCCAAUUUGCAAAGGAUGAUUCCCGUGAAGGUGAUCUCGAUCACCAUUCUAUGAUAUUUCUGGAUGCUUUUGAGAAGCUUUUCCUUUUACCUAAUGCCGGCUACCGACAACUUACUUCAUGCUAUUACUAACACUUAUGACUGAGCCACACUUGCUUUCCAAAAGAAAUUGAAACUAUCAUGCCUCAGACUAGCCAAUAGAAGAAAGAGCCACAAGCAAGCCAUAGCAGCAUCCUUUUUCUUCGCUUUCUUCAACAAUGCGAAUCUACCUCACUCCUCAUCAUAACUCAAAUACAAAUUCGAGUUCCAAAUUGAUAUUUCCUCACGUAAGCAAUAAAAUGUGAAACCAAUAUUCAUCAUGAAACUUCAGACACUGAUGAUUGUGAGGUUCUGGAAGAGAGACGACGUAGGCUGAAAAAAAAGUAAACAGAAAACCACCCCUUAAACUCAUUUGCUCAACAUUCUUUCCACAGCAACUAGAAAAGUGGAGAAAAUCCAAUAAGGGGAGGUCCCGGUGAAUACAAAUCAAUUGGAAACCGAACCCCGCACACAUGUCUCUAACAAGGCUAUCUAAGCUAAGCGGCCAUGGACCCAUGGACCCGGGGAAUUUGAACCAUUAGGUAGAGUUUCAGCUGAAAGAAAACUAGGUCAAUCUUCCGAUCGCGAGUCUUUACAAGCUUGAAACAACUUAAGCACAGGCGGGAGUCGCCCCUUUUAAAGUCAGUAUUUAUGCAGCACUGAACUAACGAGCGGAUACCUAACCUUCGAAGGAGAAGAAAAGACGGAUGUAUCUUUCAUUCAUAUCGAUCAGAUGUGCUUUGCUUAGGACUCCCAUUUCACCAUUGCUUAAGCCAUAUUACAUAAAGCAUAGUGAGUGAUACGCAAUGUUGGUACCACCAUGUUUUUUCCUCACUCUGUGUAGCCACACUCGUUUGUCCAUUUCUACUUAUUAUUUAUGUUAAAUAGUAUCCAUUGGUUGUAGAAGCACUGGCGUUCAGGGAUUGCAAAAUCCAUAGUAUCAAGAAGCGGUAGGAACCUGGCUAACUUCGAUGCGGAUAACGCGCUGUAGAAGAAAGUGGAUCAACCAAAGUAGACCUUGAUCGAAAGGCACCACAAGGCGAAGCAAUAGAGUGUGGUGUAAGCGGUGAAGCAGAAUGGGAAUUGGAACUGCUUGAACUAGAAAGGGCUUCCGCUACCGCGCUACCUCGGGAGCUCCGGAAAUGGUAUACUCGCUUCACUCAUCUGUAAUGGUAUCCUUGAAAGCUAGCUAAAGUGGGUUCUAGACAAAGUUCUCCUAAGCAGGGCGGAAGGAAAACAAGAGCAGUAUAGCUCUACAUUAUGCUUCGGGUGCCUCGUCUUACUCACUCACCUUCUACUAAUCGGACCGUGACAAAACAACCAGCCCAGCAAUAGGCAAGGACUGGUUGAAAUCCCUUUCCGGAUCCAGUCUAUCCGUAUCUGCUGUCCCUUCUGCUUUCUGUGAUGAUGGAGCUCCGUCAGAUAGUUCCGGUAUUGCGAAGGAGGGCAACGCAUUGGGAUCGUCCAAUCCCUUCUAAUCGGUUGUCAUAUUGAAUUGCAAAUUCUCGUAUAGUAAGAGUUCCUUCGGUUUCCUACCUAGCACAUUCUCUGUUGUCUAUGCCAAUAUUUUACCUGCGAGUAGAGUGUGGCUGCCUACAUACGGGGGAACUCAACCUACCUUUCGAAGGGUAGACCU